rnacentral:rRNA from 1 species
GACGAACGCUGGCGGCGUGCUUAACACAUGCAAGUCGAACGGGGGUUACAUUGAAACCUAGUGAUAUGUAACCCUAGUGGCGAACGGGUGAGUAACGCGUGGAUAACCUACCUGUCCGACCGGGAUAACACCUGGAAACGGGUGCUAAUACCGGAUACGCUCACGGGUUCACAAGAGCUUGUGAGGAAAGGGGAGACCCGCAGACAGAUGGGUCCGCGUCCCAUUAGCUAGUUGGGGGUGUAAUGGACUUCCAAGGCGACGAUGGGUAGCCGGCCUGAGAGGGUGACCGGCCACACUGGAACUGAGACACGGUCCAGACUCCUACGGGAGGCAGCGGUGGGGAAUCUUCCGCAAUGGGCGAAAGCCUGACGGAGCAACGCCGCGUGAGUGAAGAAGGCCUUCGGGUUGUAAAACUCUGUCAUCAGGGAAGAAGAAAGUAGACGGUACCGUGAGGAGGAAGGCCCCGGCUAACUACGUGCCAGCCGCCGCGAACCAACCACUCUCUACUGACGGCGGCGUCGGACGAGGCG